AUGCACGCUGGCGGCGUGCCUAAUACAUGCCAGUCGAGCUAACAGACGAGGAGCUUGCUCCUUUGACGUUAGCGGCGGACGGGUGAGUAACACGUGGAUAACCUACCUAUAAGACUGGGAUAACUUCGGGAAACCGGAGCUAAUACCGGAUAACAUGUUGAACCGCAUGGUUCAACAGUGAAAGACGGUCUUGCUGUCACUUAUAGAUGGAUCCGCGCCGCAUUAGCUAGUUGGUAAGGUAACGGCUUACCAAGGCAACGAUGCGUAGCCGACCUGAGAGGGUGAUCGGCCACACUGGAACUGAGACACGGUCCAGACUCCUACGGGGGGCAGCAGUAGGGAAUCUUCCGCAAAGGGCGAAAGCCUGACGGAGCAACGCCGCGUGAGUGAAGAAGGUCUUCGGAUCGUAAAACUCUGUUAUUAGGGAAGAACAAAUGUGUAAGUAACUAUGCACGUCUUGACGGUACCUAAUCAGAAAGCCACGGCUAACUACGUG
rnacentral:rRNA from 1 species